UAAAGGCCUGGUCCCAACUUUACUAUUAGUUUUAACUCAAUUUACACAUGCAAGUAUCCGCACCCCCGUGAGAAUGCCCUUAAUUUCCCUUGCGGAAACAAGGAGCUGGCAUCAGGCACAUUUUACUAUAGCCCAAGACGCCUUGCUAUUGCCACACCCCCAAGGGAACUCAGCAGUGAUAGAUAUUAAGACAUAAGUGAAAACUUGACUUAGUUAGAGUUAUAAAGGGUCGGUAAAACUCGUGCCAGCCACCGCGGUUAUACGAGAGACCCUAAUUAAUAAUUACGGCGUAAAGAGUGGUUAAAAGUUAAUAUAAAUAAAGCCAAAGAUUUUCCAAGCUGUUAUACGCACUCGAAAAUAUGAAGCCUUACAACGAAAGUAGCUUUAUAAACCUUUGACUCCACGAAAGCUAUGAUACAAACUGGGAUUAGAUACCCCACUAUGCCUAGCCUUAAACCUUGAUGAAAAAUAUACAAAUUCAUCCGCCAGGGGACUACAAGCGCCAGCUUAAAACCCAAAGGACUUGACGGUGUCUCAGACCCACCUAGAGGAGCCUGUUCUAGAACCGAUAACCCCCGUUAAACCUCACCACCCCUUGUUAUUUCAGCCUAUAUACCGCCGUCGCAAGCUUACCCUGUGAAGGCUACAUAGUAAGCAAAAUGAGUACAACUCAACACGUCAGGUCGAGGUGUAGCUUAUGAGGUGGAAAGAAAUGGGCUACAUUUUCUAUUAUAGAAUACUACGAAUGAUUAUACGAAAAUAUUUUCUGAAGGUGGAUUUAGAAGUAAAAAACAAAUAGAGAGUCUUUUUGAACCAGGCUCUGAGACGCGCACACACCGCCCGUCACUCUCCCCUUAACUCAAAACUUAGUAAAUAACUUCACAUAACAUUUAUUCGGGGAGGCAAGUCGUAACAUGGUAAGUGUACCGGAAGGUGCACUUGGAUCAU
rnacentral:ncRNA from 1 species